UUUGGUGCGCGGGUCCGUCCGUUUUCUCUAACGUGUUGAGGGUGUCCGCUGUGGUGUUGGUUUGCAAAUAUAUCAUAGUACUCCCUCACUGUUGGUAAAGUGAACCGUUUUCUUCAGCAUAUUUAUUCAUUACAGGAAUACAAAUUAGGAAAGAUAUUUGUUAUGCGUUUAUCUUUCUUUCAUCUCUAAUUAUGAAUCCAUUUUUUUUUUAUCUUUAAACAUUUCAUUAGUUAUUUCCUCCGUUAUCUUUUCACUUAUGUUUCCCUGUUUUUUGUUAGUUUUCUCUUUCUCCUUCCUUUUCCCUCAUUUCGAGUGGCAUUGAUUCUUCUUUCCUCUCUUUCUUUCAAAACUUUCAUUAUCUUUUACUAUAUUUGAUUUUUCCACUCCUUCCAUCCUACUUUUCUUCCAUACUUUCCUUCCUUUCUCCUCUCCUCGAUUCUCCAGCACACCACCUCAUACUCUCUCCUCGUCCACUUCUCCAGAUACCCACAAUUAAUCACUCUUUUGUCACAUCUACCCUCCUUCAGCCACUUCGUCAGUCCCUCCAUCGGUCCCUCCUUCAGCCCUCCACUAUAUUGAAGGCAUAGAGAAGCUUUCCCCACCAUCCCUCCUCCUCCUCCAAUAUAAGAUCUAAGACGAGAAGGUUGUGGGUUGUGGGAAAAAUUAAGCCCAUUUUCCCAUGUCAAGUUUAGUUGUUAGUAGAAAGUACUUGAGACUAAGAGGUGUGAAAAUUGUUGUUAUUAACGCACUCUCUCUCUCUCUCUCUCUCUCUCUCUCUCUCUCUCUCUCUCUCUCUCUCUCUCUCUCUCUCUCUCUCUCUCAAGGUGUGUAAUGUUAAUUUUGCUGCUCUUUGAUGUAGUUGUUGUUUCCUUAUUUUCUUUUUUGUUUGUUUCUUCUUUCUUUUUCUUUUUUCUUUUUUUUCUUCUUCUUUAUUCUUUUCGUUUCACCAACAUCCUUAUCUCACUUUGGCUUAGUGUCUAUAUGUUACUGUUGUUACUAAUCCCCAUCAUUGUAGUUGUUAUCUUCAUCAUCCUUCACGUCAUCAUACCUUCUACAUGCAUAGUUGGUCACAUUACCACCACCACCACCACCAGCUCCCUUCACUGCAUCUUAGUCACUCAGUCAGCCACUUGUCACUAUAAAUCAACCCGCUCCGCCGUCUAACUCCUUCACAUCCGUCACAUCACGCACGGCCACACCUACUGGCGAGACGACAGCCUCUCUAUUUGUCGCUUGCGGCGCCUAUACACGUGUGGCUGUUAGUCUUGAGUUGUGAGAGAGAGAGAGAGAGAGAGAGAGAGAGAGAGAGAGAGAGAGAGAGAGAGAGAGAGAGAGAGAGAGAGAGAGAGAGAGAGAGAGAGAGAGAGAGAGAGAGAGAGAGAGAGAGAGAAAUAAAGCAAAGAAUGAGUGAAUGAAUCAAUCAAUGAGUGAAGGAAGGAAAGGAAAGAAUGAAAGAAAAAUAAUAAAGAUAAGAACAUAAGUAAAAGAAAGAGAAAACAAAGAAAACUUAAUCUCCAAAAGAAAGGGCAAACUCAACGAAAUUCAGCGCAACCAACCAACCAACCAACCAACCUACCUCUCUCUCUCUCUCUCUCUCUCUCUCUCUCUCUCUCUCUCUCUCUCUCUCUCUCUCUCUCUCUCUCUCUCUCUCCAUUUAUUCAGUAUUUUUUAUAACAUUUUUUCCGAUCUAUUUUUUUUCGUUCAUGCUAUCAAAGAAACGAAACCUCCAUAUAUUCAAAUCCCUUACGUAUUUACUUGAUGCCCGUCGUAUUCUUCGUUCACCUGUAGAAUUGUGGCCGGGCACCUCAAUACUGCCAGAAGGGAGGGGAGAGGAAGAGAUAGAGGAGGAUGACAAUGGAUUACCAAGGAUCACAAAGGCUGAACAAACAAUAGGCACACUGUCUCUGGCUAAGCUGGUCUUCUUUACCGACUGAUUUAUGGCGACACGGUGUUUACUUUGCUAGACUGACUUAUUAGAUGAAGGGGCACUACAAUAUAAGGCUGGAAGAGAGGAGGAAGAGGAGGAAUACAAAGGAAGCCCUAAUAGCAACAAACCCUGAGGUCCUCACUAGGCUGUUUGGGUAACUAUCCUACGUUAACUACUAUUGAGAGAGACGGGAUAGUACAGAAGAAGGCUCCUCCCCACCUCUUUACAAUACUGUCUGUCUCACUGAUAGCGUAGAAUAGUUACCCAAACAGUUGGAGGAGGAGGAGGAGGAGGUGGAGGAGCAGUUGUUGUGGUGGUGUUAAUGCCUAGGAUUACGCCUGCCGGGGAAGGGGAAGUGGAGGUCACGAGGGCCACACCACAUAGUAAAAGGAGAGAGGGAGAGAGAGAAAAAAAAGACAGGAAUUUGAUAGAAAGUGAGGAGGAGGAGGAGGAGGAGGAGGAGGAACCACCUGGAGAACUCACCUAUUUCCCGCCCAUCAGUCACGUGCUUCCCCACCACCACCACCACCACCACCAUCACCACCACCACCGGAUCGGCCAUGAACGGAUAUACGGAUCAGUUUUGUGCUGUUGACUUUUGGUUAUGAACUUUACUGAGUUGAAAUGUGUAUUGUUUGUGUUUUGUUUCGGAUAAAUUUAUUAGAUGGUGAAAGAUAUAUUUGUAGCUAUCUCUUUUUUUAUUAUUAGUUUAGUCUUUAUUUAUGUAUUUAACGUAACGUAUUUGUUUGUAAAUUUAUCUUUGUACUUAUUGUUAUGUUGACUAAUUCGGUGUUUUCUUUUAUUUUUUCUAUUUCUAUUUCAUCCUUUAUUUUUUUACUUCAAUCUCCCAGUUCUCAAAGUCCUUGUUAUUUUUAGAGUUACUCUUUACAGUCUUAUAAUACGUACUUCAGGAGAUCAGCAAGCCUUCUAUUAUCUUUUCUUCCUUAUGCAAUUCUAUAACUCUUACUCAGGGUUGAAACGUAUCGUGCGCCACCCGUAGAUUUAGGCAACGCAAGGGGGGAGAGCGCGGUAGGUGGGUGAGGCUUAGGGGGAAGGGGUAUCUGUGGUGGUGUCAAUAGAGGGGGGAAUGGGCGGGCGCGUGGAGACGGGAGUUACAGGGAGGGAGGGAUAGGAGAAGGGGGUAGAAUUAUUUCCGUUCUUUAUCUUUUUUUAUUUAUUUACACGUUUGUAUUAUUUUCUGUCUCUUUCUGCAUUAUUUUUCUUUGUUCUAUUUCUUGUUAUCCUCCUUUCUAUCUACUUUUCCCAUUUUCUCUCAUUCUCUUCAAUUUCUUGUUUUCCCUCCUUUUCUCUGUCUACUCUUUUCUCUCUGAUUUUGCGCAUUAGUUUCUCAUUCUGUUCAAAUUCUUGUUUUCCUCCUUUCCUAUCUACUCUUUUCUCUCUGCUAUGUCCUCCUCCUCUUCCUAUCGCUUUUUAUUCGUUGUUUAUUGCAAAUAGUCUUGUGAGUGUUACUGUGUGUUUGCUGUUUGUUAUUUCCUUGCGUUAUUCCUUCUGCCUCUCCUUCUCCCUCGGUCUUUUCUCCUCCUCCUUAACCUUGUAUUUGUGUUCCUCUCUAAUUAUCGUCAUAUAUUCUAACUUAUAGUGUAAAUUAAUAGUGUUACUGCAUUGCACGAGUGUCUUGCGUGUUGCUUAGGUGUGUUUGAGACUAAUUAGUGUGUUUUUUUGUGUUACAGGUAAGUGUUUGCAGUCGCGAGAAAGACGGUGGGCUCUAAGAGGAGACACGCGGACACCUGCUUGUCAGUAUACGAGUAUAGCGCCACGCCUCAUGGCCCUGGCGUGGCCCUGCGCUGGCUGCAACAUUGGCCAGUAUGAGGCACUGAUACAUGGCGCGCGGACAGUGACGCCAUCGCUUAUGACCGCACACUCAGCUGAUUGUGUGUAUUUAAUGAUAGAAUAAAAGACUUUCGGAUUAUGAGGGUCUGUGUGCAAGUAUCCUUUGUAUCAUAAGUUGUGUGGUACAUUUUUAUAACAAUAAAAGACUAUGCAUUAUUUUAUUUACUUGUAGUCAAUAUAUAUAUAUAUAUAUAUAUAUAUAUAUAUAUAUAUAUAUAUAUAUAUAUAUAUAUAUAUAUAUAUAUAUAUAUAUAUAUAUAUAUAUAUAUAUAUAUAUAUAUAUAAUUUAACAUUUUAUACUAAAAUUUCCUCGGUAAGAAGAAAUCAUAAUAGAUGAUAAUGAAAAAUAAUAGUAACUCGUAAAGUCCUCUUGCAUGUGCAUUUCCACAGUAUUUACUGGUUAAAAACCCCCAUUAGGUAUUGUGCGAAUUCAGUCUUUGCAAACUAGAAAAUCUGUUUCUUCUUGAUGACUGUAAGAAUUACUUAGAUAGUAAAUACCUCUAACACGAUGGGUUUCUUUCUUCUUUGUUAGUGAGGAAGGGAUGGGAGUGUCUUGUGCACGCUACUGUCUUGUUCCGGUAGACGGAAUGCGGUGGCGUGCCCAGGUUUAAUAACACCCUUGUAAGAAUUACUUAGAUACUAAAUACCUCUAACACGAUGGGUUUUUCUUCUUUGUUAGUGAGGAAGGAAGGGGAGUGUCUUGUGCACGCUGUUGUCUUGUUCCGGUAGACGGAAUGCGGUGGCUUAUCCAGGUUUAAUAACACCUUUUCCUCAC